GAAAACUUUCAGAGUGAUGAACUUCAAACACCUGAUUCAACCCCUCAGAUACUUCCUGUGACAGUUAAAGCACCCAACAUAGUGACACCUGAUUUACCUCCUCGGGUAAUCCCUGAAACCCGUAAAGCACCCACCAUAGUGGCACCUGAUUUACCUCCUCGGAUAAAGCCUGAUACAGUUAAAGCACCCACCAUAGUGGCACCUGAUUUACCUCCUCGGGUAAUACCUGAUUCAGUUAAAGCACCCGCCAUAGUGGCACCUGAUUUACCUCCUCGGGUGAUACCUGAUACAGUUAAAGCACCUGCCAUAGUGGCACCCGAUUUACCUCCUCGGGUAAUGCCUGAUACAGUUAAAGUACCCACCAUUGUGGCACCUGAUUUAC
rnacentral:lncRNA from 1 species